rnacentral:rRNA from 1 species
AACGAACGCUGGCGGCAUGCCUAACACAUGCAAGUCGAACGAGACCUUCGGGUCUAGUGGCGCACGGGUGCGUAACGCGUGGGAACCUGCCUUUAGGUUCGGAAUAACUCAGAGAAAUUUGAGCUAAUACCGGAUAAUGUCUUCGGACCAAAGAUUUAUCGCCUUUAGAUGGGCCCACGUAAGAUUAGCUAGUUGGUGGGGUAAAGGCCUACCAAGGCGACGAUCUUUAGCUGGUCUGAGAGGAUGAUCAGCCACACUGGGACUGAGACACGGCCCAGACUCCUACGGGAGGCAGCAGUGGGGAAUAUUGGACAAUGGGCGAAAGCCUGAUCCAGCAAUGCCGCGUGAGUGAUGAAGGCCUUAGGGGUUGUAAAAGGACUCUUUUUAACCCCGUACGGAAUGGAUAAUGACAGUAUC